rnacentral:lncRNA from 1 species
GUAGUGCCUAUUGCUGCCAGAAGAGGUGUCACAUCCCCUUGGAUCUGGAAUUACAGGAGGUUGUGAGCCACCAUGUGAGGGUUGGGGACUUAACUCUGGUUAUCUGAAAGAGCAGAGUAGGAGUACUCUUACCUCAACCCUUUCCAUACCUCUUUUAUUUCCCUUUCUCCUCUCUUUCUGUCCUCACGAGACAGGGUCUAUCUCUGUAGCCAAGGCUAGCCUGAAACUAUACAUAGGCUGGCCUCAGACUUGUGUAAUGUCCUACCUUAGCAUCCCAAAUGCUCAGGUGACAGAUAUGAACCACCACACCUUGGCUGUUCAGUGUGUUUGACAAUGAUCUCUCUCUCUCUCUCUCUCUCUCUCUCUCUCUCUCUCUCUCUCUCUCUCUCUCUCUCUCUCUCUCCCCCUGCCCAGGGGGCUAUGGUGUAUUUGUGGUUGCUGUGUCUGUUCUAUGUCCUGGCUGUGGGUGUCUUUGUGUUUCUGUCUAAUUGUGGCUGUCUAAUGGCUACUUCCCCUGGCAGCACUGGGGAAUCCCUUACAGAUGAUAGUCAGGCUGGGAUUCCCUUUCUACUCAGCUUGGUUGAUUUCCCAUCACUGAGUUAGCUCUUAUCAACCUCUGAGGGGUCCCCAGCCUGCUCAGCCACUCCCCCAUCUUUCUCAGGGAAGAACUUAUUGUUGAUGUUAAAUUUUUCCUUCUUCCAGAAAGCUAUGGUCACCUUUUCUUUCUUUCUGGGUGCUUAGUUGACUACAGGUUGUUCAUGGCUAAAAGGAAGGAGGAGGAAGAUAGAAGGAGAAAAGGAGGAAGAGGAAGAGGAGGAGGAGGCAGAGGAAGAAGAGGAACCCAAACAAAACUUUGUACACAUGGAAAUGCAGGCUAGAGCCAUACCACAGACUCCAGUGUGGACAAACCUCCGGAAGCAAUUGUAAUGCUGACUCUUUGCUCAAACUGGAAGAUCCUGUCCCCGUGGUUCAAAGGCAUGAGCUGUCUUUGCUGUUGUGUGACUGGUGAUGUCAUCAAUGGUAAUCUGAACGAUUCCCUUUUGAAGACUGGAGAGAUCAUUUCCGUUCUCUGCACUUUUUGCUGUUAUGGGCUUUGCUGUUGGUCAAAGGGUCUCACAUAGACCAGGUUGGCCUCCAACUAGACUUUUAACCGAGGCUGAUCUUGAACUCCUUCCUGAUCCUCCUAACUCUGCCUCCAGAGUUCUGGCUCUGUGUAGAUCCUUUCAAACAUCCUCACGGGUCAACCCAGAGGCAGGAUUUGUGUACUGGAUUUCAGUGUUUCAAAGUCCACAUGUAGUCACUGACACAUGCUAGGCUGUGUAGGCUGCCAGUGGCAAGGAUGGCUGAACUUACUGAGUGACUGCUGUAUGUCACAACAUCCUGGCUCCCUCACUGUGGACACCUUGAAUUUUGAGGUAGUAUUUUUUUUUUUUUUUCGAGACAAGGUUUCUCUGUAUAGCCCUGGCUGUCCUGGAACUCACUUUGUAGAUCAGGCUGGCCUCGAACUCAGAAAUCCGCCUGCCUCUGCCUCCCAAGUGCUGGGAUUAAGUAUUUUUUUUUAAAGAUUUAUUUUAUUUAUAUGAGUAUACUGUAACUGCCUUCAGACACACCAGAAGAGGGCAUCAGAUCCCAUUACCCCAUUACAGAUGGUUGUGAGCCACCAUGUGGUUGCUGGAAAUUGAACUCAGGACAUCUGGAAGAGCAGUCAGUGCUCUUAACCGCUGAACCAUCUCUCCAGCCUAAGAUAGUAUUGUUUUAAUUUCAUUUCACAGAUGGGGAAAUUGAGGCACCAAGAGGUAAAGGAAUUCCCUCAGGAGGUGGGGCUGGGAUUUGAACCUAUGCUGUGUAGUUUCCAUGUGCCCACCAGGGGAGAGUCAGGGAAGUUGACUUUUAAGCCUGGCUUCUGGUAUGUGUAUGUAAGCUCAGUACAUUGGAGUCUGAGGCUGCCCUGGGCUGAUAGCAAUAUCCUCACUCAAGACAGGAAAGCAGUUGACACUCCUGGCUAUGCUGGUGGCCAGUACCUGUCAUCCUAGACAUUUGGAACACUGAGGCAGGAGGUGGGCAUGAACCUAGGACUUGGAGGUCAGCCUGGGAAACUUACAUAGACUCUACAUCAAAAAAUAAGGCAAAACAAAAAUAAAAAGUUAAUACU